rnacentral:rRNA from 1 species
UGAUCCAGGGAGGUAGUGACAAGAAAUAACAACCUAGUCGCAAGACAGUGGAUUGUAAUGAGUGCAAUUUAAAACACUGCACGAGGAACAAUUGGAGGGCAAGUCUGGUGCCAGCAGCCGCGGUAAUUCCAGCUCCAAUAGCGUAUAUUAAAGUUGUUGCAGUUAAAAAGCUCGUAGUUGAAUUUCUAGUCAGUUAAUUUGGAGGUCUCCUUCACUUUAGCUGGCUAUUCGACACUGAACCAUGCCGGUUAUUAAGUUAACCCCAUGGAGAAUUGUCAUUUUACUUUGAAAAAAUUAGAGUGUUUCAGGCAGGCAAUUGCCCGGAUAUCUUAGCAUGGAAUAAUGGAAUAGGACUUUGGUUCAUUUUAUUGGUUAUUGAAUCAGAGUAAUGAUUAAUAGGGACAGUUGGGGGCAUUAGUAUUUAAUUGUCAGAGGUGAAAUUCUUGGAUUUAUUAAAGACUAACUUAUGCGAAAGCAUUUGCCAAGGAUGUUUUCAUUAAUCAAGAACGAAAGUUAGAGGUUCGAAGGCGAUUAGAUACCGCCCUAGUUCUAACCAUAAACGAUGCCAGCUAGCGAUCUGCCUGCGUUUUUACUGUAGACUGGGCAGGAAGCUUCCGGGAAACCAAAGCAUUUGGGUUCCAGGGGAAGUAUGGUUGCAAAGCUGAAACUUAAAGGAAUUGACGGAAGGGCACCACCAGGAGUGGAGCCUG